UUUGCUACUGCUUUCAAAGCUUCUGAAGGGAAAAUAUUCCAAGAUUUCCCUUUGUGACUUUUUCCUCCAAUAGGCAUGAGUACUCCUUUGUGUCUCAACAAAUUCCACUAAAAACCGUUAUCACCUGCUUGCAUGCUCAACUGAACUGCAGAGCAUAUUGCCACAUUCCUAUUACUACUGUGCAAACACUUGAGGUGCUUUCUAUGUUCAUGUCAUCAAGACUGGUAAAAACGCUGAUAGGCAAUCUUUUGCGGUGAGUCCUAUCUCGAUAAAUAAACUUAUCUCACGAAGAGUUACUCUCACAACAACCCUGUGAUGUUAGGCAAAUAUUUCCCAUCUUGUUUCUUUGUUUGCUUAUUCUUUUACCUUAUUUUAUACACGAGAAAAUUGACAUCCGAGGAAAUUGAAUACUUUUGCUAAAAUAAGAGAGAUAGUACAAGGUAGAGUCGGUAUUCUAAUCCCUCUUACUCGGCAAGUGACUAUAAAUUCAGGGCUCUGUUUACUAAUUCCACUAAUGAUAACGACAUUGAAAGCAGAGCUUCACCAAGGGGACAAUAUGCCCUUCCUGCAAAAACGGGUUCUUGGGUGUAAAUUCUUUUUUUUGUUUGUUUGUUUUUUUUAGAUAUUACAAUGGUUUAUGGCCCUCUGAAGAGCCACAGAACAUAAACAAAUGUAAAGAAUAUCUGUGGUAUUAACAUUUCAUAGGGGGUAAGGGCAAUUGGGGGAAAAAAAAGUCCAAAAUGUUUCCUUAGGGGGUGAUAAUGAAAAGAAGAUUGAAAAACACUGAUGUAACUUUUUUGUCCCUUUUUUUUCCUGAGCUUUACUAAGGUAUAACUGGAAGAUAUUUAAAGUGUACAAUAUGAUGCUUUGAUCUACACAAACAUUGUGAAAAGAUGAUCCUCACCAGAUAAAUUCACGCAUCUAUCAUCUAUUUACCUUCUUUACUUUUUUUUGGACCAAAUGAAACCAUGCGACGUUCUCACCUCAGUAUCUGGCACUACUGGAAGAAUAGUCCUGAGAUUCAUGAUCUGGAGCCAGAAGUAUCCAUAUGUUCUUGGUUCUGCUUAUGUUUCCUCUAUAUGCUGUACACCAAAUAUUUCAUCACAGGCAGAUAAACUAUUAAUUAUCAAAGGCAAAGAAAAGUAAUAAACCGACACACCGACCAAGCAAGAAACAAACUACACCAAACACCAGGACGUCAGUGGCAUAACCAAACAGAUUUCACGUGACCUCGCAGGGCCAUCCACACAGAUGAGAAUGAGAAUACAGGCCCUUGGAGUUGUGCCCACGUAAACACCAUGGUCUUGCAUAAAGCCCAGCAAACGAGAAAGAGCCAAACUGUCCCACCACAAAUAAAAUAUUGAUUCUUUAACUUGUCCAUGAGGGUUGACUUUAGAAUCAGAAUUUCCCUACCUUUAGAUAUUUAAUUGUAUAAAGGAAAAAAUGUGUUCCUUGUUAAAAUAGUUUAAGUGCUUCUUGGAGGCAAAAUAUUUUCUAGGGUAGACGUUUCUUUAAUCAGGUACUACUAAAUUCUACAACUUUUUGAGGUCAGCCUUGUCUGCAACCUGGCAAUACCUGGCCUAUGUCUAGCUGAAGGGUAAAUACUUCUUAAAUAUCUUUAAAAGAUUCUAUUACAUCAAUGUAUAAAAAUGUUCAUUGAACCAUAGUUAAUAACUGAAAACUUAAAAAAAAAAAACCUUCAAUGUUUAUCAUUAGGCAAUUGAUAAAAUAAAUAACAGAGUUGAAGUAAAGUUAAAUAUUAUGAAAUUAAAAAACAACAUGGAUAGGGUGGUUCAAGUCAGCAGUUUAGGAAGGAAGACCCUGAAUUCAGCUGCACCCACAGACACAACAAAUCGAGAGAGCCACAUAUGCAGCAAUUCUCUCUGAAAGAAAAAAACCCUGAAAACCAGCUGAACAGAUUCUCCACAACAAAUGAUAAAAAGGCCACAUCAAGACUGGCAGGGGAAGCGAGACAGCUCUUUCCAAAAACCCCAACCCUCCCCACCCCCCCCCCCCCCCCAGCAACCUACAAUCCGAAGGAGCCAGGAGGGGCCUCACAAAUACUGAACUUCUCUCUGGGGAGGAAGGGUAUGUGCUCACCAUCAGGCACCCCAACCCUUAGCCUUGCCCCAGAGAGGUAGCUCCCCAAAUACCUGGCUUUGAAAACCAGUAGGGCUCACGUGCAGGAGAAACAUACCAUAGGGGACAGAGAUUCCACUCUUAGAAGGCUCACACACAGACUUAUUUGCUCCAGGACCCAGUGUAAAAGCAACAGAUUGAAAAAUGCCUAGACCAUAUGUGAAGGAGAUUCAUUUGCUAACCUUAAGUCACUUGCUGGAGGUGCAGAAGCUUGUUGGGACUCUCUCUGGGUCGGAGGCACAGGCGGGAGCCAUCUUUACACUCUCCCUCUGCCUUGCUGAUUGCAGGUGUGCGUGGACGUCGUUUUUUUAUCCUUACUCUAGCCUGUAAGUGUCAGCAGGUGAGCACUCCACCCUCCACACCAUUCCUGCAUUUUUAUAUACUAACAAUGAACUAUCAGAAAGAGAAUUUAAGAGAAUAAUACCAUUUAUAAGUGCAUCAAAAAGACUAAAAUAUCUAGAAAUAAAUUUAAGCAAGGAGGUAAAAGAUCUGUACGCUGAAAACUCUGAGACAUUGAUGAAAUAAAUUGAAGAAGACACUAAUAAAUGGAGAGCUAUUUUGUGCUCAUGGAUUGGAAGAAUCAAUAUUGUUAAAAUGUCCAUCUUACCAAAUGAAAUCUGUAGAUUCAUUGCAAUCCCUAUCAAAAUUCCAAUGGUAUUUUUCCACAGAAAUAGAACAAACAAUUCUAAAAUUUGUGUGGAACCACAAAAGAUCCUGAAUAGCCAAAACAAUCUUGAGAAAGAAUAACAAGGCUGGAGAGCUCACACUCCCAAAUUUCAAACUAUAUUAUAAAAUAAUAGUAAUCAAAACAGUAUGGUAUUUGCAUAAAAACAGACACAUAGAUCAUUAGAAUAAUAGAGUCCAUAAAUAAACCCAUGCAUAUAUGAUCAGUCGAUUUACAACAAAGGAUGCAAGAAUAUAUAUAUACAAUGGGGAAAGUACAAUGUUUUCAAUAAAUGGUGUUGGGAAAACUGGAGGGGCACAUGCAAAAGAAUGAAACUGGACCAUUAAUCUUAUACCAUACAAAAAAUCAACUCAAAAUGGAUUACACCUGCAUAUAAGACUGGAAACCAUAAAAGUCCUAGAAGAAAUCAUAGAGGGUCUGCUCCUUGAGACUGCUCUUCAUAAUAUUUUUUCAGCUCUGACUCCAAAGGUAGUGGUGACAAAAGUAACAAUAUAUAAGUGGGACUACAUCAAACUAAAAAGCAUCUGCACAGGGAAGGAAACAAUCAACAGAUGAAAAUGCAACCUACUGAGUGGAAGAGUAUAUUUGCAAGGCAUAUAUCUGAGAGGUGGGUAACAGCCAAAAUAUAUAAAGAAUUUAUUCAACUCAAAAACAAAAAAAAAUACAUAAUCCAAUUACAAGUGGACAGAGGAUCUGAAUAUACAUUUUUCCAAGGAAGACAUGCACAUGGCCAAAUAGGC